CCUACGGGGUGCAGCAGUGGGGAAUAUUGGACAAUGGGCGAAAGCCUGAUCCAGCCAUGCCGCGUGUGUGAAGAAGGCCUUCGGGUUGUAAAGCACUUUCAGUGGGGAAGAAAGCCUUGGGGCUAAUACCCUCGAGGAAGGACAUCACCCACAGAAGAAGCACCGGCUAACUCCGUGCCAGCAGCCGCGGUAAUACGGAGGGUGCGAGCGUUAAUCGGAAUUACUGGGCGUAAAGCGCGCGUAGGCGGUCUGAUAAGCCGGUUGUGAAAGCCCCGGGCUCAACCUGGGAACGGCAUCCGGAACCGUCAGGCUAGAGUGCAGGAGAGGAAGGUAGAAUUCCCGGUGUAGCGGUGAAAUGCGUAGAGAUCGGGAGGAAUACCAGUGGCGAAGGCGGCCUUCUGGACUGACACUGACGCUGAGGUGCGAAAGCGUGGGUAGCAAACAGGAUUAGAUACCCCUGUAGUC
rnacentral:rRNA from 1 species